rnacentral:SRP_RNA from 1 species
GGGUGAGCGUCGAUGCGGUCGCCGACGCCGCGAUAUCACACGUGGUCAGUGGGGGCGGCGGCGGCGGCGGCGGCGGCGGCGG